rnacentral:lncRNA from 1 species
CACAAUCCCCCUGGCUAACUACACUCUUAUCAGCCCUAGCUGGUCCUUUAAUAAUCCUCAUGUUAUUGUUAACUGUGGGACCCUGUUUACUCAACCGUGUGGUCUCCUUUCUUCAAGCUCAAAUUGGACAAGUUAAACUUAUGGUAAUAAGACAACAGUAUGUCCCUUUAGCAGACACAGAGUGUGAUACCCCUCAAUAAUCUUGUCACUUCUAAGAUUAGAAGUACUCAGAAAAAGAAGUGGGGAAUGUAAAGGUUAAAUUUAAGUUUUGCUCUCCUGUUAAGUUUAAGUUUUGCUUUUCUGUAAGUUUAAGUUCUGUUUUCCUGGAACCCGAAACUUAUGUUAAAAACAGUUACUUAUGUCAAAAUGUACCCUGACCCAACACCCCCUGACAAAAGGCAUGAUUAUUCUGUAAUGGUUAUUUUGUAACAAUCCCACCCUCGCACCCUAAC